rnacentral:rRNA from 1 species
UACGUAGGGUGCAAGCGUUAAUCGGAAUUACUGGGCGUAAAGCGUGCGCAGGCGGUUUUGUAAGUCUGACGUGAAAUCCCCGGGCUCAACCUGGGAAUUGCGUUGGAGACUGCAAGGCUGGAGUCUGGCAGAGGGGGGUGGAAUUCCGCGUGUAGCAGUGAAAUGCGUAGAUAUGCGGAGGAACACCGAUGGCGAAGGCAAUCCCCUGGGCCUGCACUGACGCUCAUGCACGAAAGCGUGGGGAGCAAACAGG